rnacentral:rRNA from 1 species
GGGUUAGUAGGUUGGUCAUGCCUCUGGUAUGUACUGGUCUCACUGAUUCCUCCUUCCUGAUGAACCGUAAUGCCAUUAAUUUGGUGUUGCGGGGAAUUUGGACUGUUACUUUGAAAAAAUUAGAGUGCUCAAAGCGGGCUCGUACGCUUGAAUACAUUAGCAUGGAAUAAUGAAAUAGGACGACGGUUCUAUUUUGUUGGUUUCCGGGACAGUCGUA